UUCUAUGCUAUUGGAUUAUCAUUAUACACAGUCGUUUUUAACUAAGGAAACUCUACCUAAUAAAUUAAACGUGUUCUUAAAGGGAGAGAAGCAAUUACAUUAAGGGUACUUUAGUACUUUGAUUACAUUAACCUAAUAUACUCUUAUUUGAUAGAACCUUGGCGAUUAAAGGGAGAGAGGUGAGUGAUGAAGAUCGUGUUGUUUCCAUUAACGGCGUCCUUAUGUUCAUCAUCUUGCGGUUGGAGUCUUGGAGCUUCUAAGACACUGGAAGAGAUUAGACUCUGGAGAUUUUUCCAAUCUAGAACAAUUUGAGUGAAGGGGAUGUGUUUUAAAAAUGUAAAGGUACGAGAAGAACUUGCGAAAAAGGAUUUCGAAAAUUUAAAGCAAGACAGUGCUGAUAUAGAACCACAAAACCAUCCACAACAAUAGCAGCCAAAAGUUUUCAGAAAACGCUUAUAGCAGUUAACAACUUCAAUCAGCUUUGAAUGACCGUACUACUGAAAUUUCAGCUAAUGCGCUAUCUUUGACAAAUAGCUGUAAUAAAUUUUUAGUGCUUAAAGAAAAAGAAAAAGUUUUUAGUGCUUUGCUAAAAAAAUAUUUAAUAAAAUAGUUAAAUAUAAAACAU